rnacentral:lncRNA from 1 species
AAUAGGGGAACCGGCGCAAAAUGCAAUUUGGAUCGAAGACAAUCAGUUAGGACCAAAGGCGCGUGCCUUAUUGAAGUCGAGACCACCUCCGAUUAUUCCGUAAACGCAUGUCUGUGAGAUUUAUCUCGUGACAACGCAAUCAGAAGGCUGAAUAAGACAUAUUUUGCUGUGAGAUUUAUCUCAUGCAUAUCGAAAGUUACAGAAC